rnacentral:rRNA from 1 species
GAUGAACGCUGGCGGCGUGCUUAACACAUGCAAGUCGAACGAAGCACCUUAUUUGAUUUUCUUCGGGACUGAUAAUCUUGUGACUGAGUGGCGGAUGGGUGAGUAACGCGUGGGUAACCUGUCUUGUACAGGGGGAGGACAGUUGGACACGGCUGCUAAUGCAGCAUAAGGGCACAGCAUCGCAUGAUGCAGUGUGAUAAACUCCGGUGGUAUAAGAUGUACCCGCGUUGGUUUAGAGAGUGGGUGAGGUCACGGCCAACGAAGGCGACGAUCCAUAGCCGGCCUGUGAGGGUGAGCGACGACGUUGGGACUUAGACGCGGCAGGAGCUCCUACGGGAGGCAGCAGUGGGGAAUAUUGCACCAUGGGCGGAGGCCUGAUGCUGCGACGCCGCGUGAGCGAAGAAGUAUUUCAGUAUGAAAAGCUCUAUUAGCUGGGAAGAUAAUGACGGUACCUGACUAAGAAGCACCGGCUAACUACGUG